GAUGAACGCUGGCGGCGUGCCUAAUACAUGCAAGUCGAGCGAAUGGAUUAAGAGCUUGCUCUUAUGAAGUUAGCGGCGGACGGGUGAGUAACACGUGGGUAACCUGCCCAUAAGACUGGGAUAACUUCGGGAAACCGGGGCUAAUACCGGAUAACAUUUUGAACCGCAUGGUUCGAAAUUGAAAGGCGGCUUCGGCUGUCACUUAUGGAUGGACCCGCGUCGCAUUAGCUAGUUGGUGAGGUAACGGCUCACCAAGGCAACGAUGCGUAGCCGGCCUGAGAGGGUGAUCGGCCACACUGGGACUGAGACACGGCCCAGACUCCUACGGGAGGCAGCAGUAGGGAAUCGUCCGCAAUGACGAAAGUCUGACGGAGCAACGCCGCGUGAGUGAUGAAGGCUUUCGGGUCGUAAAACUCUGUUGUUGGGGAAGGACAAGUGCUAGUUGAAUAAGCUGGCACCUUGACGGUACCUAACCAGAAAGCCACGGCUAACUACGUGCCAGCCGCCGCCGUAA
rnacentral:rRNA from 1 species